CGCGCAGGCGGCUCUUCAAGUCAGGCGUGAAAGCCCCGGGCUCAACCUGGGAGGUGCGCUUGGGACUGGGGAGCUAGAGAUCGGGAGAGGAGCGUGGAAUUCCCAGUGUAGAGGUGAAAUUCGUAGAUAUUGGGAAGAACACCGGUGGCGAAGGCGGCGCUCUGGACCGAGACUGACGCUGAGGCGCGAAAGCGUGGGGAGCAAACAGGAUUAGAUACCCUGGUAGUCCACGCCGUAAACGAUGUGUGCUAGACGUUGGGAGCCUAGCUCUUCGGUGUCGCAGCUAACGCGGUAAGCACACCGCCUGGGGAGUACGGCCGCAAGGUUAAAA
rnacentral:rRNA from 1 species